rnacentral:lncRNA from 1 species
GCCAAGUUCAGGGCUGGUGCUCUCGUUCAGAUAGAUUUAGCUGGUGGUGCAGAGAUCCGUGAGCUUGCUUUUACAGGACUUUAAUGAUAUAUAAAAGCAGCACGAGGUGCUCCUGACUGUGGAUUAAUUUGGAGAUGACUUUCUCUGUUGAAGAGUAGCAAGACUCUCGCGAGUUCUUAAAAAUGCACUUGUUUGGUAUGAGAAUGAAAAGCAGUGGCUGAAGAACCAAUCUUCAAUGGGCAAGCCUUCUCUGUGUCUGUUCUAACACGUGCCAUUUGGGAUCCCUUGGAAUCUUCAUGUACAGAACUGGUUGCUGCCUCGUUGAGUCGGUGGGGACAGAAUAGCUCCUGGUUGACAGCAUGGGUUGUGCAGAAGGACGGAUCCUGCAGACAUCAAUAUCUGGCUUUGAGUGGCACAAAGAAAUAAAGGAAUGUGGAUUCAGACCUCACUGGGAUGCUUGGCAAUUCUAAUUCUACCCCAGACUGCAAAUGGACACACAACUGUUGUGACUUUUGUUGAAGAGGAGAAGGAUGGACUUGCCCUGAAUUCUUUCAUGUGCAAUAUCCGAAAACCCUCUCUUGGGGCCUGGAUCAGGACCCCUUUCCUAUAACAUCUUUCUGGCGACAACAAAGGGACAAUGGUGUGGAAUCCCCCUUCCCAAAUGCUACUUUUAGGCUGUUUCCCAUAUAAGGUUCAUGACCCCCAGUGAGGAUGAAACUGCCUGCAAGGUUUGUCUUCUCUCCUGUUCACUGGUUACUCAGCCAGGCUGAUUCAUGGGCUUCUCAAAGGAGCUUGUUUAUCAGAAGCUUGUCUAAGACACCACGUCUUCCAGAAAAUCUCACCUGAGUCACCAACAGAUUCCUCUAAGAGUCUGUAAGCCACUCCUGACCAGCAGGAAACCCCAACAGAGGCAAAGAAUAGGAAAUUAAAUAUUUCGUCAAGAAAAAAUGAGAGGCUGGGUGCGGUGGCUCAUGCCUAUAUCCCAGCACUUUAGGAGGCCUAAGCGGGCGGAUCAUUUGAGGUCAGGAGUUUGAGACCAGCCCGGCCAACAUGGUGAAACCCUGUCUCUACUAAAAAUACAAAAACAAUUAGCUGGGCAUGGUGGUGGGUGCUUGUAAUCCCAGCUACUGGGGGAGGCUGAGGCGGGAGAAUCGCUGAAACCCAGGAGACAGAAGUUGCUGUGAGCCGAGACCACACCACUGCACUCCAGCCUGGGUGAGAGUGAGACUGUCUCAAAAAAAAAAAAAAAAAAAAAAAAAAAGCAAGAAAGCUCCCAUUUAGAUCACUCGGACAAAAGAUUUCUUUUUGUGCCAAAAUGUUCCACUAGGCUUCCAGUUUUUACCACAUAACUUGACAGUCAUGCAAGACUUAAGUGUAUUUUCAGCUAUCCUUUCUCUUUCAUUUAUUUCUGUUUAAUAAGCUCUGUCCAUUGAUUCUAGUUAGUACAUUAUAUAUCUUUUUAAUCACUUACCUGCAGUGAGCAUCUUUCCAUGUUGGUAAAUACCGGUGCUACUACUGUUACUACUGAGUACUUAUUCCAUGUCAAAUCCUCUGCCAAGCAUUUUCAAGCAUUGUCUCAUUGCCUUCUUGCCACAACCCUAUGAAGAGGCCGUGACUGUCCUCAUCCAAUGGAGGAGGAAGCUAAGGCUGAGAGCAAUUAACACAGCUGUGAGUGAACAGGUAGGAUUUAAAGCCAGGCAGUAUGAUUCCGGAGCCUACGCUUUUAAUCACUGUUAUUUUACUCUCCUCCACUCCCCAAAUAUACUGCAUUUUUUUUGUGUGAUUGUAUUGUAUUAUUCUGUUCUAGAUGUACUAUGAUUGAUUUCGUCCAUGCUGUAAUUACACUUCGGUUGGUUUUAGUUUUCACUACUACAAAUGGUGUUGCAACGAACGUCUUUGUGGGCAAAUCUUUACAGGUCAUGAAUGACCCUUUCCUUAGGACACAUAUUGCCAAGCUGAUCUCCACAAAGGUAGUACACGCCCAUCAUAUUGUACAAAAGUAUUCUUUGCCCUCCACCCUUGACACUGGGUUGCAUCUAUUUUUUAAUUAUUGCUGUUAGGAUAGAAGAACAAGGCUGACACAUUGUUGUUUCAGUUUGUAAGCUAGAACACUUCAUUGCACAUUAGCUGUAUUCCUUAGGUGUAUUUCUUGUUCAUGUCCUUUGCCCUCUGAGGUUUGUCUCUUUAUCACAGAUUUGAGAACUUUUUGUAUAUGUCUUAUAUUUUUAGAAUUAAUAAAUUUAGGGCAUAAACCCAAUAGAAAGAAAAACAGACUCAUUCUGUGUUUUGCAUAGCAUCUUACCUCCUAUCCUUCCUCCACAUUGAUAGUAAAGCAUAAGAAAUGAUUCCUGUGCCCAGAGGUUGAAAGCAGGUCCAUUUUAACAAAGUCACUUGGAAGCAUCCCCUUUCUCCAAAAGAAGCUCCCAGCUUCUCCUCCUGCUCUUCGGUCUCAGAGGAAGGGAAGAUGUUG